CCUACGGGGGGCUGCAGUGGGGAAUAUUGGACAAUGGGCGCAAGCCUGAUCCAGCCAUGCCGCGUGAGCGAUGAAGGUCUUCGGAUCGUAAAGCUCUGUGGGAAGGGAAGAAAAAAGUAUACCUCAUACGUAUGCUCUUGAUGGUACCUUCUUAGCAAGCACCGGCUAACUCUGUGCCAGCAGCCGCGGUAAUACAGAGGGUGCAAACGUUGGUCGGAAGCGUUGGUCGUAAAGCGCAUAUGUCGGGUGUGAAAGCCCUCGGCUUAACCGAGGAAGUGCAUCCGAAACUGCCAGGCUUGAGUAUGGAAGAGGGUCUCGGAAUUCCCGGUGUAGAGGUGAAAUUCGUAGAUAUCGGGAGGAACACCAGUGGCGAAGGCGGAGACCUGGGCCAAUACUGACGCUGAGGUGCGAAAGCGUGGGGAGCAAACAGGAUUAGAUACCCGAGUAGUC
rnacentral:rRNA from 1 species